GGGGGUGUAGCUCAGUGGUAGAGUGCGUGCUUAGCAUGCACGAGGCCCUGGGUUCAAUUCCCAGCACCUCCA
rnacentral:tRNA from 1 species